UCGUGGAGUGAUUUGUCUGCUUAAUUGCGAUAACGAACGAGACCUUAACCUGCUAAAUAGCCAGGCUAGCUUUGGCUGGUCGCCGGCUUCUUAGAGGGACUAUCGGCUCAAGCCGAGGGAAGUUUGAGGCAAUAACA
rnacentral:rRNA from 1 species